rnacentral:rRNA from 1 species
GAUCAUGCUCAGGACGAACGCUGGCGGCGCGCCUAACACAUGCAAGUCGAACGAGAGAGAAGGAGCUUGCUUCUUCGAUCGAGUGGCGAACGGGUGAGUAACGCGUGAGGAACCUGCCUCAAAGAGGGGGACAACAGUUGGAAACGACUGCUAAUACCGCAUAAGCCCACGGGUGGCAUCGACCUGAGGGAAAAGGAGCAAUCCGCUUUGAGAUGGCCUCGCGUCCGAUUAGCUAGUUGG